GAUGAACGCUGGCGGCGUGCCUAAUACAUGCAAGUCGAGCGAAUGGAUUAAGAGCUUGCUCUUAUGAAGUUAGCGGCGGACGGGUGAGUAACACGUGGGUAACCUGCCCAUAAGACUGGGAUAACUCCGGGAAACCGGGGCUAAUACCGGAUAACAUUUUGAACCGCAUGGUUCGAAAUUGAAAGGCGGCUUCGGCUGUCACUUAUGGAUGGACCCGCGUCGCAUUAGCUAGUUGGUGAGGGAACGGCUCACCAAGGCAACGAUGCGUAGCCGACCUGGGAGGGUGAUCGGCCACACUGGGACUGAGACACGGCCCAGACUCCUACGGGAGGCAGCAGUAGGGAAUCUUCCGCAAUGGACGAAAGUCUGACGGAGCAACGCCGCGUGAGUGAUGAAGGCUUUCGGGUCGUAAAACUCUGUUGUUAGGGAAGAACAAGUGCUAGUUGAAUAAGCUGGCACCUUGACGGUACCUAACCAGAAAGCCACGGCUAACUACGUG
rnacentral:rRNA from 1 species